AAAAGAGAUGUCCCUGAGGAGAAGUAUUCUAAUGCUUUUCUCGGUUUCGGACCUGAAACAUCUAACUUUGUUGUGGAGCUCACAUAUAGUAAUGCACUCUUCACUCUCCCUCUCCUGUUAUACGCCUGUUAAAAAGUGAACUACUUGGUUUUAAUGUGUUUUAUGAAUCAAAACAUUUUUGUUUCACAGACUAUGGUGUUAGCUCAUAUGAUAUUGGAACUGGAUUUGGGCAUUUUGCCAUUUCAACUCAAGAUGUAAGUCGUCCUACUUUGAGUUUUAAAUAUCAAGAAUCAAAAUAUGCGUGUGAUCUUGAACGAAGAGAUAAAUGGCCCUUUUUUUUAGGUUUCCAAACUGGUUGAGACCGUCCGUGCCAAGGGUGGAAAUGUCAGUAGGGAACCUGGUCCGGUCAAAGGUGGAGGCAGUGUCAUUGCGUUUGUGAAGGACCCUGAUGGCUACACUUUUGAGCUCAUCCAGAGAGGUCCAACUCCUGAACCUUUCUGCCAAGUCAUGCUUCGUGUCGGUGAUCUCGACCGUGCCAUCAAAUUCUAUGAAAAGGUAAUGCAGUGAAAUGGCUGUGGUAAUGUUUAAAUAUUCAUUACUAGUGUUUACUUCAUUUCUAAUUCC
rnacentral:lncRNA from 1 species